rnacentral:rRNA from 1 species
GAUGAACGCUGGCGGCGUGCCUAAUACAUGCAAGUCGAGCGAACAGACGAGGAGCUUGCUCCUCUGACGUUAGCGGCGGACGGGUGAGUAACACGUGGAUAACCUACCUAUAAGACUGGGAUAACUUCGGGAAACCGGAGCUAAUACCGGAUAAUAUAUUGAACCGCAUGGGUCAAUAGUGAAAGACGGUUUUGCUGUCACUUAUAGAUGGAUCCGCGCCGCAUUAGCUAGUUGGUAAGGUAACGGCUUACCAAGGCAACGAUGCGUAGCCGACCUGAGAGGGUGAUCGGCCACACUGGAACUGAGACACGGUCCAGACUCCUACGGGAGGCAGCAGUAGGGAAUCUUCCGCAAUGGGCGAAAGCCUGACGGAGCACCGCCGCGUGAGUGAUGAAGGUCUUCGGAUCGUAAAACUCUGUUAUUAGGGAAGAACAAAUGUGUAAGUAACUAUGCACGUCUUGACGGUACCUAAUCAGAAAGCCACGGCUAACUACGUG